UACGAAGGGGGCUAGCGUUGCUCGGAAUCACUGGGCGUAAAGCGCACGUAGGCGGCUUCUUAAGUCAGGGGUGAAAUCCUGGAGCUCAACUCCAGAACUGCCUUUGAUACUGAGAAGCUUGAGUCCGGGAGAGGUGAGUGGAACUGCGAGUGUAGAGGUGAAAUUCGUAGAUAUUCGCAAGAACACCCGUGGCGAAGGCGGCUCACUGGCCCGGUACUGACGCUGAGGUGCGAAAGCGUGGGGAGCAAACAGG
rnacentral:rRNA from 1 species